CUAGUGGCCAUGGCCACAAUGGAAAUAAUCACUGCCACUCCAAUCGUAAUUGCGAUCUAUCAUAAAUAAUAAUAGUUUCUUAGAUUUUGAUCAAAAUGUCCACAAUCGAUCAUGACAAAACGAUUACGUUCGGACUGCGAAACUAUCGCGACAGUUUAAUCACUUGUCGCUUACAGGCAAAUGCGCUAUCGCGAGAGUUUCCGUAGCGCGCAUUUCUUUCCCGCAUUUGUAAAAAGUCGAGGACUGACAGAGACGAGGAGUGAAGCUUCGCUUUUGUGCCUGGUUCAACUCGUGUUUGAGCAUACAAACACAUCUUUUCAGAGCGAGCAGCAGUCGGAGGGGAAACACUUUAGCCCAGGGAACCUCUAGUUUCUGGAUCAAAACACCGCAGAGGAACGAGACCUGCGGCAGAGCAAGACCAUCCAGCGGCUGAAAGGUUGGAGUGAAGAACAGGACGCCCCCGUGAUCUUUACUGCCCAGGAAACUGUCAGUGAACGUCACAUUUCCAAGGUGCUCGAUGAACUUCCCUUUGGCAAGACACUAUGGAUGAACAGGGUAGUAAUUUCAAAACUAACAGAUAUCACCAAACAUUUUCAGUUGAUAACUGAUUACACAUUAAGAACCGCAAACAUGUUUUGGUAUGGUAUGUUUAAAUAUGCAAAUUAUGCAUUAAUUAAUAAAAUAUGCACUAAUUUGCAUGCAUUUCUAGAAACAGAUUUUUAUUAUCAAAACUUUUGUUUAGGACAAAUUCAUGAAACUUUAAC